rnacentral:rRNA from 1 species
AUUGAACGCUGGCGGCAGGCCUAACACAUGCAAGUCGAGCGGAUGAAGGGAGCUUGCUCCUGGAUUCAGCGGCGGACGGGCGAGUAAUGACUAGGAAUCUGCCUGGCAGUGGGGGAUAACGUCCGGAAACGGGCGCUAAUACCGCAUACGUUCUGAGGGAGAAAGUGGGGGAUCUUUGGACCUCACGCUAUCUGAUGAGCCUAGGUCGGAUUAGCUAGUUGGUGGGGUAAAGGCCUACCAAGGCGACGAUCCGUAGCUGGUCUGAGAGGGUGAUCAGUCACACUGGAACUGAGACACGGUCCAGACUCCUACGGGAGGCAGCAGUAGGGAAUAUUGGGCAAUGGGCGAAAGCCUGAUCCAGCCAUGCCGCGUGUGUGAAGAAGGUCUUCGGAUUGUAAAGCACUUUUAGUUGGGAAGAAGAGCAGUAUGUUAAUACCUUGCUGUUUUGACGUUACCAACAGAAUAAGCACCGGCUAACUUCGUG